CCUCUCUGGAUGGAUCCGAGACCCCUCUGGAGUCCCUGGAUGGAUCCCAGAUCCCCCAAAUGGAUCCCAGACUCUUCAAAUGGACCCUGGACCCCUCUGGACUCGCAGGAUGGAUCCCAGAUCCCCUUGGACCCCUCAAAUGGAACCCGGACCCCCCAAAUGGGUCCCGGACCCCUCUGGACCUUCUGGACGGAUCCCAGAUCCCCCAAAUGGAUCCCAGACUCUUCAAAUGGAUCCUGGGCCUCUCUGGAUCUCUGGGAUGGAUCCUGGAUCCCCCUCGACCCCUUGAACGGAUCCUGGACCCCUCUGGAUCUUCUGGGUGGAUCCUGGAGCCCCCAAAUGGAUCCCAGAUCCCCCCGGAGCCCUCGUAUGGACCCCAGAGCCCCCGAAUGGGUCCCGGAUCCCAAAUGGAUCCCCCGGACAGAUCCCGGAUCCCAAAUGGACCCACAGGACGGAUCCCAGAUCCCAAAUGGAUCCUCUGGAUGGAUCCUGGGGACCCCUGGACCCCUGGAUGGAUCCCGGAGCCCAAAUGAACCCACAGGACAGAUCCUGGAUCCCAAAUGGAUCCCAGACCCCUCUGGAUCCCCCGGGCGGAUCCCGGACCGGGACAAUUGUGGGGUCACCCCCCCCGCCCCUCCCCCGCUGUACAGAAAUACAGGAUCCCAAAUAGCCUCGA